CCUCCAGCGCCCUUCCCUCCGCGGGGCCUGGAACAAGGUUUCUCAGCCGCAUUACGGGCGGUCACCCCGGGUGGCCCCAUCCUGCGGCCCGGCCUGUGCACUGGGGUGCUCAGCAGCUCCCUGGCCUCUGCAGACCCCUAGAUGCCUGCUUCAGCCCCGCCAGCGCUGGGCCUGACGACCACGUGCUGUUGGGAACGAGUGACUUACAACAAGCAGGCUGCGCCCUCCCUCAGCCUUCGCAGAGACGUCCAGACCACCCGUGGUCACUCGGCUGGCGUCUGAGGCCCAGCUGUCCUCCCUCGAGCCCUGUGUGACCCGCCAGUCCAAGGUCCUGGCUUCGUGGUGGCGGAGUUCUUAGGUGUUUUCUUCCUCACUGUGCUCCUCCACUUAGGACGGUGCCUGACACUUCCUGGAGUGGCAGUGUCUUCCAGCAGUGGCCCCCAGCAAGGCUUCAGAAAUUGAGAUCCACAGCUCCAGGGGUUCAAAUAGCGAAGACUUACGGGAAACAUCAGUGGAGACGAAUACAAUGGAGAAGGCCCGAAGCACAGAUGGAACACACCUCAGCCUACGACAACAGAGCGGUUUCUAGUCCAUGGGGAAAAGGAUGAAUUGUUCCAUUAUUCUGUUAGAAAAAGCAACUACAUGUGGGGGAAACAGGCUUCAUGUUUUGUACUGACAUAAAUUACAGAUGGAUAAAUACUGAAAUGAAGAAACCAACAAUAUGAAAGCAUUCAGGGAAAAUUGGCAAAUAUAAAAUCUUCGAGAGGGGAACUUUUUAAAGGCCAACACUUAAGUCAGAAGGUAUUUAUUGAAAAAGUUGAUUUGUCUACAUAAAGACUUAAAACUUAGCAUGUAUAAAAUAAAUGUUUUGCUUUAAAAAAGUAUAUAAAAAACAAUAAUCUGUUCUUUAGACUCUCACGGAAAGGUAGGCAGCUGAUACGUGAGACUGCCGUAGGAGUGACCAGGCCCUUCAGAGGAGAGCUGCUGAGCAUGCCUCCCUCCUCUGGUGACUGCAUCUCCACUUUCAUUACUUAAUCCAUGGUGCCUGGGGUUGAGGUGCAGCUGGCUGCACCCCAGGUCCAGAAGUGGGCAAGUGACCUAAGGCCGUCCAGUCAUCAGCAUCCCAUCUGUUGAGCUACACUGAUUGGUUCAGAGGUGGACACGUGACCCAAGUUGAUGAGCGCUACAAGCAGGACUUUUCCGGAUGAGUGGUUCAGUGACCUGAGCAUCACUGUGUAACCAGCAGCAUCCCAUCCACAGAGCUAGCGACUGCUGCAGGGAUGGAUAUAUCCAAGUUGGUGAGAGCUAAAGCCAGGAUUGAUUCUGGGAAUGUUCAGGAGGGAGAGAUUCACCUUCCUUUGAGCUUGGUGGGGGUUUUGUUAUUCCUGCUGCUGCUGCUGUUGCUGCUGCUGCUGCUGCUGCUGCUGCUACUGAUACUGUUGUUUUUGUUUUGAGCUUAGUGUUAUAAAGAUACAGGCCUGGAGUUGUCAAGGGUCAUUUUGUAAAACUCAAAAAGUAAGCAAUGCAGAAAAAGGUAGAUAUACGAGAGAAAGACUGUUUGAAAAAGAUAGCUUGUGGCCUGGUGUGGUGGCAAGCGCUUGUAGUCCCAGCACUCAGAAGGCUGAGGCAGGAGGAUCGCUUUGAGUUUGAGGCCAGCCUGAGCUACAUAGAGAGUUUAAGGCCCACAUGAACUAUGUAGCAAGACCCUGCCUAAAAACAAAACAAAACAAGGGGCGGGGAUUUAGCUCAGUGGCUCCACACCUGCCCUCAAGCGAAAGGUCCUGAGUUUUAUCCCAGGUACCGAAAAACAAAACUAAGCAGGGGUGCAUAGUAAGCCUGCAGAAACAAGCCUCUCCAUGGUGACUGUGGAAACACAUCUCCCUCUCUUCAGAGAGCCAUAGCAAAGACCUAUAAGACACAACAAAAAGAUAGCUUACAAGAAUGGAUUCUAACACUUUUUUUUGUACAGGGGAUUGAACUGGGGAACUUGCGCUUGUGAGGCAGGUACGGUGCCACUGAGCUAAUCCCCAGCCUGAGUCUUGAUUCUAGACAUAGCUAAAAGUAGCUUUCUCUGUGACAUUUCAUCGAGUCCAUCAAUUCUCUUUUUGGUUAAGCAGAUGUGACUGUGACUUGUAAUUGAAAAAGUCUUGGCCAAUUCAUGGAAUACUGUACAUCCAUAUGUAUACACAAACAGAAAAGAAAAUGACUCGGGUGCCUUUCAUGAAAAAAAUCAAAGUGCACCAGUAAAUUUAUUUAAUUAUUUAUUUUGGAUAAAGGGGCUUGCUCUGUAGCCCAGGCUGGCCUCAGACUCAUAGCAAUCCUCCUGCCUCAGCCUCCCAAGUGCUGGGAUUAUAGGCCUGUGCCACCACGCUUAGCUAUACCAGUAAUUCUAAAAUUCAAAAGGGGAACAGGUUUGGUCAGUUGGUGUGAACUGUGUGAUGUGCUGGUGAUGUUUGGGAAGUGAGUGUGCUCAUGGAAGGCCACCAGGAAGGGGGUCACUCCGACCGACGGACAGUUCUGGAGGGCAGUUCAUCCUCUGCAUCUGAAGCACCUUUGCUCACAUCCGUGCAGUUCCACUGUAGGAGCAGGGGCAGAGACUGAGCUGCACAGUGUUCAUUACGCUGCUGCUGAAAAGAGUGAACCAAUUGGAAACGGCAAAGACUACAAGACAGCACUGGUAAAAGAUCACAGCGUGCAGACCUGGGGUCCUGGGGCGGUUUUUCACCUGCGCUGCAGGUGCUGGGCUGCAGAGGGCAGGUGCUCCCGACAGACUUUAUUUGCUCUUGCUGUGUAACAAGUUACCCUGACUUCAGCUGCUUCAGCAGCGCCCGUUCAGUCAUUCACAGCCCUGCAGGCCGGAGCUCUGCACUCUCCUGGCCACACACACGGGUUAAGCAGCAUGUGGCAGCAUGCAUCCCGUGGCCUGCCUGUUUCCUUGCUGCUGCUCAGCCCCUGGGCCUGCCAGUUCCUCAGCACACAGCCCAGCAGGGUCGAUGGCGGCAGCGGAGAAUCCACAGCACGGAGCCCUUGACCUCAGGAAGUGCUCAGUCGGUAGGGCUCACCCUCCAUCAGCUUCCUGCCUGAAGGCCGCGUCACUUGGGAACUCAAAUCCUGUCUACAAAUUCCACUCCCAGCAGCCCUGAGAUGGAGUUUGAGGAACCAGAAGGAAGUGUGUCCUUUAGGGGAUUGUGCUAGAAUUUGCCUGUCAUAAUUACGGAGUAAAACAGAGCCCACUUCAAAAAUAAAAGGUAGAGGGUUCCAUCUUCUGUAACAACAGCAACAAACAUAAUAAAAAU
ensembl:lncRNA